UUGGUCCUGACCUUAUAAUCAAUUUAAACCCAACUUACACAUGCAAGCCUCCACACCCCCGUGAAAACGCCCUUAAAUCCCAAUAGGACCAAGGAGCCAGUAUCAGGCACAAUAAUUUGCCUAAAACACUUAGCUUUGCCACACCCACAAGGGCAUGCAGCAGUGAUUAAUAUUGAACAUUAAUGCCAAUUAGAUUCAGUCAGGGUACUCAGAGCCGGCUAAUCUGGUGCCAGCCGCCGCGGCUACACCAGGGACUCAAAUUGAUUAAAAUCGGCGUAAAGAGUGCUUAAAGUGAAUCACCAACUAGAAUUAAACCAAGAUUAAGUUGUAAUAAGCUUAUCUAUCGGAAACACAACUACGAAAGUCAUUCUAGAUUACACCCUUGAAUCACGACAGCUGGGGAACAAACUGGGAUUAGAUACCCCACUAUGCCCAACCACAAACUUUAACUUACAACUAACCCGCCAGAGAACUACGAGCCACGCUUAAAACUCAAAGGACUUGACGGUAUCCUAUACCCCACUAGAGGAGCCUGUCCUAUAAUCGAUAAUCCUCGCUAAACCUCACCCUCUUUAGCUUAUCAGUCUGUAUACUUCCGUCGCCAGCCUACCACGUGAGCGCAACUCAGUAAGUUCUUCGUAACACGCAUGAACGUCAGGUCAAAGUGCAGCAAAUGAGAGGGGAAGAGAUGGGCUACAUUCUCUAAACUAGAGCAUACGAAAAGCUACGUGAAACCUAGCUAGAAGGUGGAUUUAGAAGUAAGAAGAGAAUAGAGUGCUCUUCUAAACCUGGCACUUGGAUGUGUACACACCGCCCGUCACCCUCCUCAAAGCCUUUAAUUAGUACAUAACACUAAACAGCCACAAAGAUGAGGCAAGUCGUAACAUGGUAAGUAUACCGGAAGGUGUGCUUGGAA
rnacentral:ncRNA from 1 species